CCUACGGGAGGCAGCAGUGGGGAAUAUUGGGCAAUGGGCGCAAGCCUGACCCAGCAACGCCGCGUGAGGGAAGAAGGCUUUCGGGUUGUAAACUUCUUUUCUCAGGGACGAAGCAAGAGACGGUACCUGAGGAAUAAGCCACGGCUAACUACGUGCCAGCAGCCGCGGCAAUACGUAGGCGGCAAGAGUUAUCCGGAUUUACUGGGUGUAAAGGGCGUGUAGGCGGGAAAGCAAGUGAGAUGGGAAAACAAUGAG
rnacentral:rRNA from 1 species